AGCGAACGCUGGCGGCAGGCCUAACACAUGCAAGUCGAACGAAGUCUUCGGACUUAGUGGCGGACGGGUGAGUAACACGUGGGAACGUACCUUUUGGUUCGGAACAACUCAGGGAAACUUGAGCUAAUACCGGAUGAGCCCUUAGGGGGAAAGAUUUAUCGCCGAAAGAGCGGCCCGCGUUAGAUUAGCUAGUUGGUGAGGUAAAGGCUCACCAAGGCUACGAUCUAUAGCUGGUCUGAGAGGAUGAUCAGCCACACUGGGACUGAGACACGGCCCAGACUCCUACGGGAGGCAGCAGUGGGGAAUCUUGCGCAAUGGGCGAAAGCCUGACGCAGCCAUGCCGCGUGAAUGAUGAAGGUCUUAGGAUUGUAAAAUUCUUUUACCAGGGACGAUAAUGACGGUACCUGGAGAAAAAGCCCCGGCUAACUUCGUGCCAGCCGCCGCGGUAA
rnacentral:rRNA from 1 species